GGGUUGUGAGGUUAAGCGACUAAGCGUACACGGUGGAUGCCCUGGCAGUCAGAGGCGAUGAAGGACGUGCUAAUCUGCGAUAAGCGCCGGUAAGGUGAUAUGAACCGUUAUAACCGGCGAUUUCCGAAUGGGGAAACCCAGUGUGACUCGUCACACUAUCAUUAACUGAAUCCAUAGGUUAAUGAGGCGAACCGGGGGAACUGAAACAUCUAAGUACCCCGAGGAAAAGAAAUCAACCGAGAUUCCCCCAGUAGCGGCGAGCGAACGGGGAGGAGCCCAGAGCCUGAAUCAGCAUGUGUGUUAGUGGAAGCGUCUGGAAAGGCGCGCGAUACAGGGUGACAGCCCCGUACACAAAAGCGCACAUGCUGUGAGCUCGAUGAGUAGGGCGGGACACGUGGUAUCCUGUCUGAAUAUGGGGGGACCAUCCUCCAAGGCUAAAUACUCCUGACUGACCGAUAGUGAACCAGUACCGUGAGGGAAAGGCGAAAAGAACCCCGGCGAGGGGAGUGAAAAAGAACCUGAAACCGUGUACGUACAAGCAGUGGGAGCACCCUUUGGGGUGUGACUGCGUACCUUUUGUAUAAUGGGUCAGCGACUUAUAUUCUGUAGCAAGGUUAACCGAAUAGGGGAGCCGGAGGGAAACCGAGUCUUAACCGGGCGUUAAGUUGCAGGGUAUAGACCCGAAACCCGGUGAUCUAGCCAUGGGCAGGUUGAAGGUUGGGUAACACUAACUGGAGGACCGAACCGACUAAUGUUGAAAAAUUAGCGGAUGACCUGUGGCUGGGGGUGAAAGGCCAAUCAAACCGGGAGAUAGCUGGUUCUCCCCGAAAGCUAUUUAGGUAGCGCCUCGUGAAUUCAUCUCCGGGGGUAGAGCACUGUUUCGGCUAGGGGGCCAUCCCGGCUUACCAACCCGAUGCAAACUGCGAAUACCGGAGAAUGUUAUCACGGGAGACACACGGCGGGUGCUAACGUCCGUCGUGAAGAGGGAAACAACCCAGACCGCCAGCUAAGGUCCCAAAGUCAUGGUUAAGUGGGAAACGAUGUGGGAAGGCCCAGACAGCCAGGAUGUUGGCUUAGAAGCAGCCAUCAUUUAAAGAAAGCGUAAUAGCUCACUGGUCGAGUCGGCCUGCGCGGAAGAUGUAACGGGGCUAAACCAUGCACCGAAGCUGCGGCAGCGAACGUAUCACCCAAGACAACUUUACGGAGUUAACGAUUGACGGAGCGAAGCGACGUCAAAGCGUUCAUUAAAGUCGAGUUGGCUUAGGGAUACGUUCGUUGGGUAGGGGAGCGUUCUGUAAGCCUGUGAAGGUGGCCUGUGAGGGUUGCUGGAGGUAUCAGAAGUGCGAAUGCUGACAUAAGUAACGAUAAAGCGGGUGAAAAGCCCGCUCGCCGGAAGACCAAGGGUUCCUGUCCAACGUUAAUCGGGGCAGGGUGAGUCGACCCCUAAGGCGAGGCCGAAAGGCGUAGUCGAUGGGAAACGGGUUAAUAUUCCCGUACUUGGUGUUACUGCGAAGGGGGGACGGAGAAGGCUAUGUUGGCCGGGCGACGGUUGUCCCGGUUUAAGCGUGUAGGCUGGUUUUCCAGGCAAAUCCGGAAAAUCAAGGCUGAGGCGUGAUGACGAGGCACUACGGUGCUGAAGCAACAAAUGCCCUGCUUCCAGGAAAAGCCUCUAAGCAUCAGGUAACAUCAAAUCGUACCCCAAACCGACACAGGUGGUCAGGUAGAGAAUACCAAGGCGCUUGAGAGAACUCGGGUGAAGGAACUAGGCAAAAUGGUGCCGUAACUUCGGGAGAAGGCACGCUGACAUGUAGGUGAAGUGAUUUACUCACGGAGCUGAAGUCAGUCGAAGAUACCAGCUGGCUGCAACUGUUUAUUAAAAACACAGCACUGUGCAAACACGAAAGUGGACGUAUACGGUGUGACGCCUGCCCGGUGCCGGAAGGUUAAUUGAUGGGGUCAGCGCAAGCGAAGCUCCUGAUCGAAGCCCCGGUAAACGGCGGCCGUAACUAUAACGGUCCUAAGGUAGCGAAAUUCCUUGUCGGGUAAGUUCCGACCUGCACGAAUGGCGUAAUGAUGGCCAGGCUGUCUCCACCCGAGACUCAGUGAAAUUGAACUCGCUGUGAAGAUGCAGUGUACCCGCGGCAAGACGGAAAGACCCCGUGAACCUUUACUAUAGCUUGACACUGAACAUUGAGCCUUGAUGUGUAGGAUAGGUGGGAGGCUUUGAAGUGUGGACGCCAGUCUGCAUGGAGCCGACCUUGAAAUACCACCCUUUAAUGUUUGAUGUUCUAACGUGGACCCGUGAUCCGGGUUGCGGACAGUGUCUGGUGGGUAGUUUGACUGGGGCGGUCUCCUCCUAAAGAGUAACGGAGGAGCACGAAGGUUGGCUAAUCCUGGUCGGACAUCAGGAGGUUAGUGCAAUGGCAUAAGCCAGCUUGACUGCGAGCGUGACGGCGCGAGCAGGUGCGAAAGCAGGUCAUAGUGAUCCGGUGGUUCUGAAUGGAAGGGCCAUCGCUCAACGGAUAAAAGGUACUCCGGGGAUAACAGGCUGAUACCGCCCAAGAGUUCAUAUCGACGGCGGUGUUUGGCACCUCGAUGUCGGCUCAUCACAUCCUGGGGCUGAAGUAGGUCCCAAGGGUAUGGCUGUUCGCCAUUUAAAGUGGUACGCGAGCUGGGUUUAGAACGUCGUGAGACAGUUCGGUCCCUAUCUGCCGUGGGCGCUGGAGAACUGAGGGGGGCUGCUCCUAGUACGAGAGGACCGGAGUGGACGCAUCACUGGUGUUCGGGUUGUCAUGCCAAUGGCACUGCCCGGUAGCUAAAUGCGGAAGAGAUAAGUGCUGAAAGCAUCUAAGCACGAAACUUGCCCCGAGAUGAGUUCUCCCUGAGACUUAGAGUCUCCUGAAGGAACGUUGAAGACGACGACGUUGAUAGGCCGGGUGUGUAAGCGCAGCGAUGCGUUGAGCUAACCGGUACUAAUGAACCGUGAGGCUUAACCUUACAACGCCGAAG
rnacentral:rRNA from 1 species